rnacentral:rRNA from 2 species
AACGAGCGCAACCCUUAUCCUUUGUUGCCAGCGAUUAGGUCGGGAACUCAAAGGAGACUGCCAGUGAUAAACUGGAGGAAGGUGGGGAUGACGUCAAGUCAUCAUGGCCCUUACGACCAGGGCUACACACGUGCUACAAUGGCGCAUACAAAGAGAAGCGACCUCGCGAGAGCAAGCGGACCUCAUAAAGUGCGUCGUAGUCCGGAUUGGAGUCUGCAACUCGACUCCAUGAAGUCGGAAUCGCUAGUAAUCGUGGAUCAGAAUGCCACGGUGAAUACGUUCCCGGGCCUUGUACACACCGCCCGUCACACCAUGGGAGUGGGUUGCAAAAGAAGUAGGUAGCUUAACCUUCGGGAGGGCGCUUACCACUUUGUGAUUCAUGACUGGGGUGAAGUCGUAACAAGGUAACCGUAGGGGAACCUGCGGUUGGAUCACCUCCUUACCUUAAAGAAGC